rnacentral:rRNA from 1 species
CAGACAGCCAGGAUGUUGGCUUAGAAGCAGCCAUCAUUUAAAGAAAGCGUAAUAGCUCACUGGUCGAGUCGGCCUGCGCGGAAGAUGUAACGGGGCUAAACCAUGCACCGAAGCUGCGGCAGCGACGCUGAUGCGUUGUUGGGUAGGGGAGCGUUCUGUAAGCCUGUGAAGGUGGCCUGUGAGGGUUGCUGGAGGUAUCAGAAGUGCGAAUGCUGACAUAAGUAACGAUAAAGCGGGUGAAAAGCCCGCUCGCCGGAAGACCAAGGGUUCCUGUCCAACGUUAAUCGGGGCAGG